ensembl:lncRNA
GUGAAAACAGUCAUUUUUAGGAGACAGAUUAGUUUUGAGACCAUUUUAUGUAAAUCUAUUGACAAAGGCACUGACUCAUAAAAAAUUAUUAGCAAAUAUUUCUGCAUCUAAUAAGCAUCGACUUCUCUCAAUGUCUUGGUUAAAAAAAUACUUCCAAAGUGAAACUUGUGCUGAAGUUGGAGAUGCAAGUCUAUUGAAUGUACUUUUUUGAAGUCCCAUGGAUGUCCUUGUUGGACUUCUUGCAAAGGAAAGCUUAUGUGUUUCAUACAGUCAUGGGGAAAAGAAAGUUUUCACAAGAUUCUUUGCAGUCUUGUGAAAAACUGAGAACGACUCAUGAUUCCAUAACAAAAGAUUAUUUUUUUUUUUUGCAUUUUUUUGCAUGGUUUUAUUGGUCUCUGACACCCCACUGUUUUCCCACUCUUCUUUACAGUGUUGCUUCAGUUCAUUGAGCUUUGCAUGCAUUCAUUUUUAUAGAACGCUCUUAAAACUCCACAUUUCAGUCAGGUUGAGGUCUGAACUUUGGUCGAUCCAUUGAACCACCUUGAUUCUUUUCUUUGUAAGUCAUAUUUUAGAUGUGUUGCUAUGUUUAGGAUCUGUUGCAUGGCCCAGUUUCAGCAGUUGUCUGUAAUUGCAAAGUGCCGAACUCAUGUGGCUGCAAAGCAUGCCCAAAUCAUCACGCUUGAAUGGCAUGAAGUAUUGGCACAUAUAUGGUGUGUUUGUGUUUUUUCUUGAUGUGGCAUUGUGCAUCUGUUCAAAUUACAUUUUUCUAGAUAUGAUUUAGCAAACCUAAGCCAUGCUGCCAUGUUCAUUUUAGAGAGAAGAGGACUUCUGUUGGCAGUCUUAGAUAAACCUCUUGGCUUUUUUUUUCUGUGUGCCUAUUCUCUGAGCACUGCAUGGUCUGAACUUGGGUUAAAUUUUCUUGGAUGUUUAGUCCUGCAAAGAUUAUAGCAUUUUGUUUUAACACACAACUGAAUGCUCUAGAACAGCAAACUGACAAAACAUCUGAUUUUAUAGAGGUGCUCACAUUUCCUAUGAUCAGUUAAAUGACCAUGUAUCACCCCAGUAUCACACAGACCUCCUGAUCACGAUUAAAUAAUUCUCAUCUUUCUGGAACCAUUAGAAUUUUCUUUCUAGCCCGAAAUGGUUGAAAGUUAU